UUUUUUUUUUUUUUGAGCCAGCGUCUCCUGUUGUCCAGGUUGCAGUACAGUUGUACGAUCUCAGCUCACUGCAACCUCCACCUCCCAGGCUCUAAUGAUCCUCCCACAUCAGCCUCUUGAGUUGCAGGGACUACAGGUGCACACUACCAUCCCCGGUUAAUUUUUGUAUUUUUUGUAGAGACAGGGUUUUGCCACGUUGCCCAGGCUGGUCUCAAACUCCUGGACUCAAGCGAAACAGCUACCUCGGCCUCCCAAAGUGCUGGGAUUACAGGUUUGAGCCACAGUGCCUGGCCUCCUUCUAAAAUUUGUGUUAACUGAUCACCGAUGGCAGAGUCACAUGAUUGAGCAUUGGAAGUGAACUUUUUUGAUGUAUAAACACAUGAGGUUCAGUUUCUGACUCUGGAUUGGCUGUGUGUACAAUUCAGAACAUGCUAAAGUCUCAGAGCAGAACUCCUUUAGAGCCAGGUAAGAGGACCCCUGCUCCAAGGCCUGCCCUUGAGAACCUACUCUGGCCUCCUUUGGCUGUGCCUCUCCCCACGUGUGCCAAGGGGACAUGCGCACUUGGAGUCCAAGCUCCUUCCCCAACCACUCUUCAGGUAUCCAGGAAUUUGGGGUCUUGUUCAGAAGGUUCCAAGUCUGCUUCCAGGGCCUGUACCAAAAUGUUUCCCAGGUCCAUCCUACUAAGGUCAGGAGGCAACACUGCUGUAUGUACCCCUAGGCCUAGGGAUGGCCAAGGGACAGCUCUUUGUUGGGGAUAAAUGGUGCUAUGGUCUGAAUGUUUGUGUCCCCCAAAUUCAUAUGUUGAAAUCUUAACCUAACAGAGGAUGGUAUCAGGAGGUAGGGUCUUUGAAAGGUGACUGGGGAUUAAUGCCCUUAUAAAAACAGCCUGCAAAAAGCUCCCUGUGCCUUCUACCAUGUGAGGAUACAGUGAGAAGUAUUCAUCUAUGAACCAGAAAGCGACCCUUCUCCAGACACUGAACCAGCCAGUUAGUGCCUUGAUCUUGGACUUCCCAGCCUCCAGAACUGUGAAGGAAAAAAAUCCCCAUUGUUGGUAAACCAUCCAGUUUAUUGUAUUUUGUUGUAGCAACCUGAACAGACAGAGACAGGCUGAACUUAGACAAUGGGAAGGGUCUGCAUGGAUAAGUUCCAGGCUGCCACUGAACUGGACA
rnacentral:lncRNA from 1 species